rnacentral:rRNA from 1 species
GAUGAACGCUGGCGGCGUGCCUAAUACAUGCAAGUCGAGCGAAUGGAUUAAGAGCUUGCUCUUAUGAAGUUAGCGGCGGACGGGUGAGUAACACGUGGGUAACCUGCCCAUAAGACUGGGAUAACUCCGGGAAACCGGGGCUAAUACCGGAUAACAUUUUGAACCGCAUGGUUCGAAAUUGAAAGGCGGCUUCGGCUGUCACUUAUGGAUGGACCCGCGUCGCAUUAGCUAGUUGGUGAGGUAACGGCUCACCAAGGCAACGAUGCGUAGCCGACAUGGGAGGGUGAUCGGCCACCCUGGGACUGGGACACGGCCCAGACUCCUACGGGAGGCAGCAGUAGGGAAUCUUCCGCAACGGACGAAAGUCUGACGGAGCAACGCCGCGUGAGUGAUGAAGGCUUUCGGGUCGUAAAACUCUGUUGUUAGGGAAGAACAAGUGCUAGUUGAAUAAGCUGGCACCUUGACGGUACCUAACCAGAAAGCCACGGCUAACUACGUGCCAGCAGCCGCCGUAA